rnacentral:tRNA from 1 species
GGAGGGGUGGCAGAGUGGUCGAAUGCGGCGGUCUUGAAAACCGUUAUGGUGCAAACCAUCGGGGGUUCGAAUCCCUCCCCCUCCGCCA